rnacentral:tRNA from 1 species
GCCCGCGUGAGGUAGUUUGGAUAUCCUGAAGGCCUGCGGAGCCUUCUACUCGGGUUCGAAUCCCGACGCGGGCG